rnacentral:rRNA from 1 species
CCUACGGGUGGCAGCAGUGGGGAAUAUUGCUCAAUGGGCGAAAGCCUGAAGCAGCGACGCCGCGUGGAGGAUGAAGGUUUUAGGAUUGUAAACCCCUUUUGUGAGAGAAGAAAAUGAAGGUAUCUCACGCAUAAGCACCGGCUAACUCCGUGCCAGCAGCCGCGGUAAUACGGCGGGUGAAAGCGUUACUCGGAAUCAAUGGGCGGAAGGGGUUCGUAGGAGGGAUUGUAAGUCAGAGGUGAAAUCCUGGGGCUUAACUACGGAACUGCAUUUGAAACUCUGAGUCUAGAGUGUGUGAGAGGUAAGUGGAAUUCUAGGUGUAGGAGUAAAAUCCGUAGAGAUCUAGAGGAACA